rnacentral:rRNA from 1 species
CCUACGGGAGGCAGCAGUGGGGGAUAUUGCACAAUGGGGGAAACCCUGAUGCAGCGACGCCGCGUGUGGGAAGACGGUCCUCUGGAUUGUAAACCUCUGUCAGCAGGGAAGAACGGUCACUGUGCUAAUCAGCAGUGAAUUGACGGUACCUGCAAAGGAAGCACCGGCGAGCUCCGUGCCAGCAGCCGCGGUAAUACGGAGGGUGCGAGCGUUAAUCGGAAUUACGGGGCGUAAAGCGCUCGUAGGCGGUAUGUGAAGUCAAGGGUGAAAUCCCGGGGCGCAACGGGGGAACUGCCUGUGAGAGUGGCAGACUGGAGUGUGUGAGAGGAUAGUGGAAUGCGAGGUGUAGGAGUGAAAUCCGUAGAUAUCUGGAGGAACAUCAGUGGCGAAGGCGACUAUCUGGCACAUAACUGACGCUGAGGAGCGAAAGCGUGGGUAGCAAACAGGAUUAGAUACCCCAGUAGUC